rnacentral:rRNA from 1 species
CCUGGCGGCGAGUGGCGAACGGGUGAGUAAUAUAUCGGAACGUGCCCUGGAGUGGGGGAUAACGCAGCGAAAGUUGCGCUAAUACCGCAUACGAUCUAAGGAUGAAAGCAGGGGACCGCAAGGCCUUGUGCUCCUGGAGCGGCCGAUAUCUGAUUAGCUAGUUGGUGGGGUAAAGGCCUACCAAGGCAUCGAUCAGUAGCUGGUCUGAGAGGACGACCAGCCACACUGGAACUGAGACACGGUCCAGACUCCUACGGGAGGCAGCGGUGGGGAAUUUUGGACAAUGGGCGCAAGCCUGAUCCAGCAAUGCCGCGUGAGUGAAGAAGGCCUUCGGGUUGUAAAGCUCUUUUGUCAGGGAAGAAACGGUGAGUUCUAAUACAGUUCACUAAUGACGGUACCUGAAGAAUAAGCACCGGCUAACUACGUGCCAGCAGCCGCGGUAAUACGUAGGGUGCAAGCGUUAAUCGGAAUUACUGGGCGUAAAGCGUGCGCAGGCGGUUUUGUAAGUUUGUCGUGAAAUCCCCGGGCUCAACCUGGGAAUGGCGAUGAAGACUGCAAAGCUAGAAUCUGGCAGAGGGGGGUAGAAUUCCACGUGUAGCAGUGAAAUGCGUAGAGAUGUGGAGGAACACCGAUGGCGAAGGCAGCCCCCUGGGUCAA